UCAGGCCUAACACAUGCAAGUCGAGCGAGACGUUCGGGUCUAUCGUCGGACGGGUGAGUAACGUGUGGGAAUAUGCCCUUCGGUUUGGAAUAGCCCUGGGAAACUGGGAGUAAUACUGAAUUCGGUAUACGCCGUAAAGAUUUAUCUACGAAGGAUUAGCCCGGGUGGGAUUAGGUAGUUGGUGGGGUAAUGGCCUACCAAGCCGACGAUCCAUAGCUGGUUUGAGAGGAUGAUCAGCCACUCUGGGACUGAGACACGGCCCAGACUCCUACGGGAGGCAGCAGUGGGGAAUCUAAAGGAAUGGGGGAAACCCUGAUCUAUCCAUGCCGCGUCUUCAUUGAAGGCCUUAGGGUUGUAAAGCUCUUCAGGGGGGAAGA
rnacentral:rRNA from 1 species